CCUACGGGAGGCAGCAGUGCGGAAUAUUACACAAUGGCGCGAAAGCCUGAUGCAGCGACGCCGCGUGAGGGAUGAAGAUCCUUCGCGUUGUAAACCUCUUUCAGCAGGGACGAAGCGCAAGUGACGGUACCUGCAGAAUAAGCUCCGGCUAACUACGUGCCAGCAGCCGCGGUAAUACGUAGGGUGCGAGCGUUGUCCGGAAUUACUGGGCGUAAAGAGUUCGUAGGCGGUUUGUCGCGUCGUUUGUGAAAAUCCCGGGCUCAACUUCGGGCUUGCAGCCGAUACGGGCAGACUUGAAUGUUUCAAGGGAGGCUGGAAUUCCUGGUGUAACGGUGAAAAGCGCAAAUAUCAGGAGGAACCCCCGUGGCGAAAGCCGGUCUCUGGGAAACUUCUGACCCUUAAGAACGAAAAGCCUUGGUAGCCAACCAGAUUAGAUUCCCUNGUUGUUCCCCCCCGUUAACGGUGGGCUACUAAGUGUGGGUUCCUUCCACGGAAUUCUGUGCCGUAGGCUAACGCAUUAA
rnacentral:rRNA from 1 species